AGUUUGCCUAAUGUAAUACAUAUAUGAAUGUAGAAAUGAAAUAGUCAGAUAUGUAUUUGGAUACAGCUCAACUAAGAAAAAUAUAACUGGAUGAAGUCUCCUUGAAAACCCCUUAAACAGCCUGAUCAACCACCUGCAAUCAUCUGGAUGCAACGUAAAUGACACAGACUUCUUCCAAGGGAAGAAAAUUAAGGAGCUGUUAGUUAUUAUCGGCAGUGUUUUAAGAUGUGGAAAAACAUCCUGAGUGUUUUAAGGAUGUGAGACAGAACUUGGGAAAAGAGUGCAAUUUGUUAACUUCCAGUCCUG
rnacentral:lncRNA from 14 species